rnacentral:rRNA from 1 species
AUGCAGCGCCGGGUGGAGCCAUGGAAGGGGCGGUGGCUUUCGAAGGCCGCCAGGGUGAUCCUCAUCAACUCCUCGCUUGCCAGUCUCCUAUGGUUUCUCGUGAGCUUCUACAGCCUCCAUGAGACGCUCCAUCAGGAGAUCGCCAAGUACCAGUACAGGUUUUUUUGGGCAGGCGAGGGAGACAAGCAGAAGUACCAUAUGGUGAGCUGGCCCGACAUUUGCAAACCCAAGGACCAGGGGGGUCUGGGGAUCUUGUCCUCUCGGUGCAUGAACAUUGCUCUCCUAACCCGAUGGCUCUGGCGUAUCGCCAAUGGGGAAGGAGGCCUCUGGCUCACCAUCAUCAGGAAUAAGUACCUCCGGGGCCAACCCCUUGCUUUCUGCUAG